rnacentral:rRNA from 1 species
UACGGGGGGGGGCAAGCGUUGUUCGGAAUUACUGGGCGUAAAGGGCUCGUAGGCGGCCAACUAAGUCGGACGUGAAAUCCCUCGGCUUAACCGGGGAACUGCGUCCGAUACUGGAUGGCUAGAGUUCGGGAGAGGGAUGCGGAAUUCCAGGUGUAGCGGUGAAAUGCGUAGAUAUCUGGAGGAACACCGGUGGCGAAGGCGGCAUCCUGGACCGACACUGACGCUGAGGAGCGAAAGCCAGGGGAGCAAACGGG